AUAAUUUUUAGCUCAUUGAGCUAAGAUCAAAGCGUAGUAUUUGUUCUUAUCAGUUUAAUAUCUGAUAUGAUCCUCAUGUGGGAUCGUCAGUAUUAAACUGUGUUCUGGAUAAUGGUGAAAUGCUUGGGGCUUGCUCCACCUUUGCCGCGGAUCAUCUCGGUAUUGCAAUAUCUCCGGGAUCUGAUCACUCCCU